UACGGUGGGGGCAAGCGUUGUUCGGAAUUACUGGGCGUAAAGGGUUCGUAGGUGGCUUGUUAAGUCAGACGUGAAAUCCCUCGGCUCAACCGGGGAACUGCGUCUGAGACUGAUGAGCUCGAGUGCAGGAGAGGAACGCGGAAUUCCAGGUGUAGCGGUGAAAUGCGUAGAUAUCUGGAGGAACACCGGUGGCGAAGGCGGCGUUCUGGACUGCAACUGACACUGAGGAACGAAAGCCAGGGGAGCAAACGGG
rnacentral:rRNA from 1 species